ACACCGGGCAUUGCUCAGUACGGCGAGUGAAGCGGCAAAAGCUCAAAUUUGAAAUCUAGCACCUUCGGUGUUCGAGUUGUAAUUUGAAGAUGGUAACCUUGGGUUUGGCUCUUGUCUAUGUUCCUUGGAACAGGACGUCAUAGAGGGUGAGAAUCCCGUCUGAUGAGAUGCCCAUUCCUAUGUAAGGUGCUAUCGAAGAGUCGAGUUGUUUGGGAAUGCAGCUCUAAGUGGGUGGUAAAUUCCAUCUAAAGCUAAAUAUUGGCGAGAGACCGAUAGCGAACAAGUACAGUGAUGGAAAGAUGAAAAGAACUUUGAAAAGAGAGUGAAAAAGUACGUGAAAUUGUUGAAAGGGAAGGGCAUUAGAUCAGACUUGGUGUUUUACGAUUAUCUUCUCUUCUUGAGUUGUGCACUCGUAUUUCACUGGGCCAGCAUCGAUUCGGAUGGCAAGAUAAUGGCAGUUGAAUGUGGCUUCACUUCGGUGGAGUGUUAUAGCUUCUGCUGAUAUUGCCUGUCUGGAUCGAGGGCUGCGUCUUUUGACUAGGAUGCUGGCGUAAUGAUCUAAUGCCGCCCGUCUGA
rnacentral:rRNA from 1 species